CGGUUGAUCCUGCCGGACCGGACUGCUAUCGGAGUGGGCCUAAGCCAUGCGAGUCGCACGCCCCAGGCUGGUGGGGCGUGGCGUACGGCUCAGUAGCACGUGGUCAACCUGCCCUGCGGACGGCUAUAAUCCCGGGAAACUGGGGCUAAUAGCCGAUAGGGGAUUGGCGCUGGAAGGCCCUUUCCCUGAAAGGCCUAGUUACCCAUGCCGUGACUAGGCGCCGCAGGAUGGGACUGCGCCCCAUCAGGUUGACGGUGGGGUAACGGCCCACCGUGCCUAUAACGGGUGCGGGCCCUGGGAGGGGGAGCCCGGAGAUGGGCACUGAGACAAGGGCCCAGGCCCUACGGGGCGCAGCAGGCGCGAAACCUCCGCUAUGCGCGAAAGCGCGACGGGGUCACUCCGAGUGCCGCCUGCUGAGGGCGGCUUUUGCCCAGUCCAAAAGGCUGGGCGAAUAAGGGGAGGGCAAGUUUGGUGUCAGCCGCCGCGGUAACACCAACUCCCCGAGUGGUCCGGACGAUUAUUGGGCUUAAAGCGUCCGUAGCCGGUCUAGCAAGUCUCCGGUUAAAUCCGGCGUCUCAAGCGCCGGGUCUGCCGGAGAUACUGCUAGGCUAGGGAGCGGGAGAGGCGGGCGGUAUUCCCUGGGUAGGGGUAAAUAUCCUAAGAUCCAGGGAGGACCAUCGGUGGCGAAGGCGGCCCGCUAGAACGCGUCCNACGGUGAGGGACGAAAGCUGGGGGGGCGAUCCGGAUUANAUACCCGGGUAGUCCCAGCUGUAAACNAUGCAGGCUAGGUGUGUGGGUGCCUUAGGGGCACCCAUGUGCCGAAGGGAAACCGUUAAGCCUGCCGCCUGGGGAGUACGGCCGCAAGGCUGAAACUCUAGGAGCCCCCUAUAUGUCUAAUAAAAUAUGUGGUAGGCUGAUAUCAGAUAUUAUCAAUAUAGGAAAAAUGACUAAGAAUAAAACGAAAAUUAAAUCUAGUUAAAAAAGAUAAAACUCCAUAAAUCGGGGGGCUUCUAGAGCAGCAGACUUAAAGGAAUUGGCGGGGGAGCACCACAAGGGGUGGAGCCUGCGGUUCAAUUGGAGUCAACGCCCGGAACCUUACCCGGGGAGACAGCAGGAUGAAGGCCGGGCUGAAGACCCUGCCAGACAAGCUGAGAGGUGGUGCAUGGCCGUCGCCGGCUCGUACCGUGAGGCGUCCGGUUAAGUCCGGCAACGAGCGAGACCCGUGCCGCCAAUUGCUCCAGUUCUCUUCGGGGGGCUGAGGAAAUUGGCGGGACUGCCGCCGAUAAGGCGGAGGAAGGAGCGGGCUACGGCAGGUCAGUAUGCCCUGAAUCCCCGGGGCCACACGCGGGCUACAAUGGCGCGGACAAUGGGUGGCGACCCCGAAAGGGGGAGCUAAUCCCUAAACCGCGCCUCAGUUGGGAUCGAGGGCUGCAACCCGUCCUCGUGAACCUGGAAUCCCUAGUAACCGCACGUCAUCAUCGUGCGGUGAAUACGUCCCUGCUCCUUGCACACACCGCCCGUC
rnacentral:rRNA from 1 species